UUUAUCUCAUGUAAUGACCCGUUAGAAGUUUUGGCAGAAGAAUUAUACAUUUGUGCUAUUUUUUAGGAGUCUCAUGCAUGCCAAAAUGCUGGUUAAGGUAAAUAAGAACUGUUGCGGCCAAUCCCCCAUCGUCCGAUCGUCGAUGUCGCACACCUGCAAGAAAAGUUCUCACUAAUCGGAGAUGUCUCCGACGGAAAUCCUCCGACAGUCAAGUCAGAGAGGAGACCAGGCAACAGUGGAACUCAGCGAAAGGGG
rnacentral:lncRNA from 1 species